rnacentral:misc_RNA from 1 species
GACGAACCGUGCGAACGUUGUUCGGAAUCACUGGGCUUAAAGGGCGCGUAGGCGGGCUAUCAAGUCCGGGGUGAAAUCCUCCAGCUCAACUGGAGAACGGCCUCGGAUACUGUUGGUCUCGAGGGGGAUAGGGGCACACGGAACUGUGGGUGGAGCGGUGAAAUGCGUUGAUAUCCAUAGGAACUCCGGUGGCGAAAGCGGUGUGCUGGAUCCCUUCUGACGCUGAGGCGCGAAAGCCAGGGGAGCAAACGGG